CAGCCGAGGGGCCUCGAUACCUAGCCUAUAACCUUCCUGGGGUCCGUCCCAACAUUCUUUGUUUCAAUCAAACUCCAAAACGGUCGACUUUUCAGGUACUCCGGGAUACGGCGUGUUUUUCACAACCGUAGCCUUGUCUGUAGUUGACGUGGUGUGCAGUUGGUGGGACUCUUGUACGUUGGACCGGGACUUCCAAAGUUAUGUCCACUUGUUGGAGGUUCCUCUGCAGCUACAGACAUUCACAAGUAGCACAUACGUGAGAAUGCUACAUGCCUCAGCUGCCGGACCGGUUUCAUCAAUUGUUGUUUGCCCGUGGCCUCGUGAACCAUCGCCGUCUCCAGACUUGUACCUUCUAUAUUUGUUAGACAUCACACGUACACCAAUAUAUCAAUGAGUGUGCCGUCCAUCGGAUAUUCCAUCCGCAAUGACUACCUGGUGGACCUUAAAGAUCCCACAGCAUCUUUCGCGAAGAGUAGGUGAGUUAUUGUACUUUGAACACGUUACAAAUCUGAGUCAACUGCACGUCGUCAGUGGACGUCAGGCCUGGCCAACCGGUUUGUAAAAGACUCGGCCAAAAAUGUUCCCCGGCCAACACCACAAGGAGGAAGGAAUGAUUGUUGCCAUUAUAGAACCCCCCCCCCCCCC
rnacentral:lncRNA from 1 species